GGUACAGGCAAAAAAAAAACAUGAGUCAGACGCCUGCCUACCCGCUCGCCCGUCCCCACGCCUAAGCGAAAUUGACGGCGGCCGCCGCACCGCUCGCCACCGCCGCUGAUGCCAACCUCCCGCAAGUCGUUGCUAUAUCCGCCUAUAGCGCGCCGCUCCCGACCGAUCCGGCGAGGCCUGCGCACCACCUCCCGGCUCUUCCCUUCCCCGAUCUGGAGCACAAGCCUCCUUUCCCUCCACCCCGAUCUGGCAGUAGUGGCAGGAGCUAGGCCACCGGAACGAGGCUAAUUUGUCCGGCUGCUGCAGCGGCAGGCCGGACGAUGCUAAUUUGGCUCGGUGUUGUUAUUCCGCAACCAAUUAUACUGCUACUCCAUCCCAUGGACUGGCCUGUCCAUGGCUGGUGCCUGGUAGGAGGGAGGGAGGCGUGCGAUCAUGACCCUGCAUGGUUCCAAAGGCAGCGCACAGGCUGGGCCGGGGUCUAACUGGGCGGGCGUGUGUUGUCGCUGCCAGGCCACUAUACGGGCAUCGCAGGGCGUGUUGCAGCUUCAGGAUUCUGCUAGGAGCUCCUGGGAUGUGCUCAUGCAUGCUUGGUUGGAACCUUUUCUUUUUGGUCAAUGGAUGAAUCAAUGGCGUGUCAGGACUAACUAGGUCAUACGUGUACCUCACUAUCUACGGACAACUCUCUCGUCGUAUCUGCACAACAUGAGAACAAUUUGAUCAAUGAAUAUGGGUUUCUUUCCUACCGGUGCCAUUGUAUGUGCCUGCACGCCAACUAUCUUCUUUCUUGUUUACUGUCAGUAGGGGAACUAUUUGUGGAUGUAAUAUGCAGCUAAAGGUAUUCCAGCAUGAGCAACAUCAGUGCUUAAAGUAAAGGCUUCAGGACUUGAGUAAUGCAGUAGCACUACUCACAACCAACUGCAGAAAUACCAUGUGCCAAAAAUCCCGUGCGCCAAAAAUCCCGUGUGCCAAAAACCCAUUGCAACUGGAGAUCCGCAUGCGCUGCUGGACAUGCUAUGCUACUCGAUUUGACACAAGCUACUUCAGCCGUGACUCCAUGAUUGAUUUUAGUGGCGCACUGGGAGGAGACAAACAAAGAGAGCAAAAGCACAAUAGGAAAAGCGAUGUUAUGAGGAAAACAGAAGGGCAAUAAACAAAAACAUUGAUCCCGUGAGUAUGUAUAUGAGAGAUAUAUGUACGUCUAGGCUGUGCUGCUGACUCAGGAUAAGUUCAGUGAUCUAGGUCAAGGUGAUUUAUAGUUGAUAAAUUUGGUACCCAAAGCACCGACAUGAUCGGCACACUGGCUGUCCUGAUUGCCAUAGAACAUGUGCAUUAAAGUUACUCCAAUUGCAGUGCAGGACUGUUUGAGCAAAACCAUAAGCAAUUGAGUUCUUCAUCUGUAGUCAUGCCGAUUAGUGUGAAAUAUACAAACUUUUUUCAA